AUGGCGGGCGGCGGAGCGGGCGGAGGAGCGGAAGCCGGCGAUGGCCAGCGAGUCGAGGCCGUCGCGGCGGCCGGCGGCGCAACACGCGGCCGCGAAAGAUCUGGUUCUGGAGGCCCUCACCGUGCUCGUGCAGUCAAGUUUCGACCGCGUUCGCCCUCGUACAUCCGUCGGCGGCGGCAAUUCGGUUGCGGCGCCAAGAUCCUUGACCUGGACGAGGACAUAGGGGCUGAUGGUGAAGCGGGUGUUGGCCGUGGAGGCGCUGUACCCGGCACUGCAGCGGGUCAUGCGGCUAACCAGGUCGGCGCGGCAGCUGGUGCUGGGCAAGACAUCGCGUCUGUAGGUGUUGGGCAAGACGGCACGGCAGCAUCAGUGCAUCCUGGGGCUGACCAUGACGCAGCAGCCGCAGGUGCUGGGGGCGUUGAGGAGAAGCUACACAAGCACUAG
rnacentral:rRNA from 1 species